UCCUGGCUCAGGACGAACGCUGGCGGCGUGCUUAACACAUGCAAGUCGAGCGGAGAUGGCAUCUAUGUAAUCUUAACGGCGGACGGGUAGAGUAACGCGUAGGCAACCUGCCUUGCGCAGACGGGAUAACACCUGGGAAAGUGGUGCUAAUACCACACGAUAUCUAUAACAAUGGCAUACUCUGAAAUAGAUCGAAGGAGAAACCCGGUGCAAGAUGGGCCUGCGUCCAAUAACUUAGUUGCCUGAGGUAACGGCUCACCAGUGCGAGGAUCGGUAGGCGAAACUGAGAUGUCCGAUCCGGCACAUUGGGACUGACACACUGGCCAUACUCCUACGGGAGGCAUCCUUGGGGGGAAUAUUGCGCAAUGGGUGUAACCCUGACGCAGCAACGCCGCGUGAAGGACAGCACAGGCCUACGGAUUGUACACUUAUGAGAUUGGGGAAGAAAAAAGUGACAGUACCCAAUGAACAAGCCACGGGUAACUACGUGCCACGCAACCGCGGUAAUACGUCCGUGGGCGAGCGUUGUCCGGCAUUACUGGGUGUACAGGGCGUGUAAGCGGGAUUGUAAGUCAGAUGUGAAAUUCCAGGGCUUAAGCUCUGAGAGGUGCAUCUGAGACUAUAAUUCUUGAGUGCUGGAGAGGAAAAGCGGAGAUUCCUAGUGUAGCGGCGAAAAGAGUAGAUAAUAGCAAGAACAACAGCGGCGAAGACGGCGUUCUGGACAGCCACUGACGAUGAGGCGCGAAAGCGUUGUGGAGCAAACAGCAGGAGAUACCCUGCGUAGUACACGAUGUAGACGAUGGAUACUAGUUGUAGGAGGAAUCGACCCCUUGUGCGCCGGAGUUAACACAAUAAGUAUCCCACGUGGGGAGUACUCCCGGCACAGCUGAAACUCAAAGGAAUUGACGGGGGCCCGCACAAGCAGGUGGAGUAUGUGGUUUUAUUAGAAGCAACGCGAAGCAACAUCUACCAGGGCUUGACAUUCCUCGGAUAACAUAGAGAUAUGUUACUCUUUCGGGACGAGGAGACAGGUGGUGCAUGGUUGUUGUCAGCUCGUGUCGUGAGAUUUUGGUUUAAGUCCCGCAAGCGAGCGCAACCCGUCUUGAUAGUCGCCAUCAUUAAGUUGGGCACUCUAACGAGACUGCCGCUGACAAAUCGGAGGAAGGUGGGGACGACGUCAAAUCAUCAUGCCCCUUAUGUCCUGGGCUACACACGUACUACAAUGGUCAGUACAGAGGGAAGCGAUACCGCAAGGAGGAGCCAAUCCCCAAAGGUGACCUCAGUUCGGAUUGUGGUCUGCAACCCGCCCACAUGAAGUCGGAAUUGCUAGUAAUGGCAGAUCAGCACUCCUGCCGUGAAUACGUUCCCGGGCAUUGUACACACCGCCCGUCACACCAUGAGAGUCGGCAACACCCGAAGUCAGU
rnacentral:rRNA from 1 species